rnacentral:rRNA from 2 species
AAUAUUGGGCUAAAGCUCCGCAGGUGUCAGCCAAUCUGCCGUCAAAUCAGGUUGUUAACGACCUAAGGCGUGGAAACUGGCAGACUAGAGAGCAGUAGGGUAGCAGAAUUCCCAGUGUAGCGGUGAAAUGCGUAGAGAUUGGGAAGAACAUCGGUGGCGAAAGCGUGCUACUGGGCUGUAUCUGACACUCAGGGACGAAAGCUAGGGGAGCGAAAGGGAUUAGAUACCCCUGUAGUCCUAGCCGUAAACGAUGGAUACUAGGCGUGGCUUGUAUCGACCCGAGCCGUGCCGAAGCUAACGCGUUAAGUAUCCCGCCUGGGGAGUACGCACGCAAGUGUGAAACUCAAAGGAAUUGACGGGGGCCCGCACAAGCGGUGG